UACAGGUUCAUCAGGAGUUCAUCGGCUAUCACCGGCGUUAUCAGGGAUACCUGCCACUGAUGAUGUGCCUUAAACGCAUCCCUUCUGAGGACACGCCGCCGCCGCGGAUAAUAGGAAGCCGACAACGGCUCUGAUGUGAUCUCCAAGGACGAGCAGAGGCCGCGGAUCAGCGCCGGGGGAGGCGGGCAAUUAAAGAGCAACGCCGAACCCAGUCGGAGCCUCGUUUUCCCGUGCUGCGUUCAGGAGCGCUUGUUGAAUACUGCUGUGCAGGCUGUUCAGUAAUAGCCGGCUGAUGGCCCCAUCUAUCCUGUUUAAUCCUGGGAAAACACUGCGCUCACAGUUUAGCUUCUACGGUGACCCCAAGGUCAGAGCAAACAACAUGGCUGCAACCAAGAGGUGGGCGUCUUUGGAAGCAGCUGUAGGGUUGAGUCUAAACACAAUUUAAGAGAAAUUCUAUGAAGGAGAAAUUCUAUGUAUUCAACAUAACCUGUGUUCAACAUAAACAGAUAUUGAAAAAACUGAUUUUUAAUAUAGCUGAUAUUCUGUCAAUUAAAAGCGCUCACAAAAAACGCGCGAGAUGUGUCACUUCCGGUUAAUCACAGGCUGCAAAUGCGAGAAACCUGCUCCUUAAAAUGUUGGUAUUGUUGACUUAACAGGAUGUUUUUGAUUAAACGCUGUGUCACGUCUUCAAAUCCGAGGUGAGUGUCAUUAAACAACGCACUGGGCUGUUGGUUUUGUCCAACGUUAAUGAGCCUAAAUGCUAAAAAAACAAACAUUUCCCAACGUGAGAGGAGCAAAUUAGUGCUGAUGCUGUCAAAUGUGCCAACUUAACUCUUAUAUAGAAACUGAAUAUUUAUAAAUGAAUAAGUGAAUUAAUUUUACGUCAUUGGGUGAGUUUAUACGGCUAGUUUGGUUAAUAGACUACGGGAGCUUUCAUCUAUAUCUGCAAUCUAAAUAUCGGCUCAUUAUGUGUGUUUAUUUGUUUUUAUCCCACUAAUCAUUAUUUAAUUACCACCGCACACAUCCGUCCUCUCGUAGAAGCAUUUCAGGAUUAAAGGCUCCUUUUCCUCCGGGUGUGGAGGGUUUCUCACGCACCGAGCCAUUCACACCGUUCCGCCCGCGUCCGAGCGGCUUCACCGUGAUUUGAUAAGCCGCCGUGAAUAUCCAUCAAGGAAUCCGAGCAGCCCACUGGAUCGCCGCGCGGCGGACCGCGUCGCUGCGUCGCUCCCCUCCUCCUGCC
rnacentral:lncRNA from 1 species